CAAAGUUGGAAAGGAAUACUCCAUACUAUAAGCAAUCUAGAAUCAUAGAUUGUACCUGGUUUGGGAUCACUAUUUCCUAUAGAAACCAUAUUGUCAAUUGCCAGUUACAAGCCCAGGCUAACUCCAGAGCCAAUUUAACACAAUACUGUAAGAUGACCCCAGUACUAAUAUCAAUAAAUCUCAAAUUUCACGGUAGUUUAAAAAGAAGACUAUUUCCUCCCUCUCUCUUGAGAUUAAAGGGUUAACCUUAUUUGACAAAGUUUUGGAAGAAACGAAGUAUAUCUCACUUUCUUCUGGUUUUUCUUCACUAGACAUACAGGUCCUCUAACGCUGGUCCAGAUUCCAUUCUUCAGUAAAACCUGGGCCUGUCUUAACCUUGACAAAGAUUUAUGUUCUAAAACUAACCAUCUUCCAUCCAGCACCCCUUUUCAGUUUAUUCCCUGUAGGCACUUUGACUUAGACAAGUCAUGGGAUUGGGUUAAUUCACAUCUGCACAAAUCACUGAAUUCACUGAUGUAAACCAAAUGUGCAUCUUGUGAUUUGGGGAGUGGGUGGAUGGAAGUGGUCCAUGAGAGAAGGAGCUCCUUUAAACUGUUCUUCCUUUUUCAUCCUCUUCCUUUUCUUUCACUCAGAAUAAAGACAUUCUCCAAAAGCUCCAUGCUGAGAGAAAGAAAAAAAAAAAACAACGAAAGAUCUCAUCUAGAGACCACUGUUACAAAUAAGUCAUUCGUAACCUGGAUCAGAGACAGCAGAUACUUUCAAAUAAGACGCAAGUCAUGAGGUCCAGCCCAUACUCAAGGGUAAAGGAAUUAAGCUCCACUUUCUGGAGGGAGAGAUAUCAAAGAAAUUGUGGACAUAUGUUAAAACCACCCACUAAGUCAGAGUCUUGUUCUGUCACCCAGG